rnacentral:rRNA from 1 species
AUUGAACGCUGGCGGCAGGCCUAACACAUGCAAGUCGAACGAGUGGCGGACCGGUGCGUACUCUCUGGGAAACUGCCUGUUGGAGGGGGAUAACUACUGUAAACGGUAGCUAAUACCGCAUACCAUCAGAUGCGCCCAGAUGGGAUUAGCUUGUUGGUGGUGUAACGGCUCACCAAGGCCACGAUCCCUAGCUGGUCUGAGAGGAUGACCAGCCAAUCUGGAACUGAGACACGGUCCAGACUCCUACGGGGUGCAGCAGUGGGGAAUACUGAAAAAUGGGCGGAAGCCUGAGGCAGCCCGGCCGCGUGUAUGAUGUAGGCCUUCGGGUUGUAAAGUACUUUCAGCGGAGAGGCGUUACCCGCAGAAGAAGCACCGGCUAACACCGUGCCAGCAGCCGCGGUAUUAC